rnacentral:pre_miRNA from 1 species
AUCAUUCUGAAUUCGUGCAUAGAUCUAGUCACAUACCAACAAAUUAGGGCUGAUUAGACUCCGAAGAUAAGUGAAGUU